AGCGAACGCUGGCGGCAGGCCUAACACAUGCAAGUCGAACGAACCUUUCGGGGUUAGUGGCGGACGGGUGAGUAACACGUGGGAACGUGCCUUUAGGUUCGGAAUAACUCAGGGAAACUUGUGCUAAUACCGAAUGUGCCCUUCGGGGGAAAGAUUAAUCGCCUUUAGAGCGGCCCGCGUCUGAUUAGCUAGUUGGUUGAGGUAAUGGCUCACCAAGGCGACGAUCAGUAGCUGGUCUGAGAGGAUGAUCAGCCACAUUGGGACUGAGACACGGCCCAAACUCCUACGGGAAGCAGCAGUGGGGAAUCUUGCGCAAUGGGCGAAAGCCUGACGCAGCCGUGCCGCGUGAAUGAUGAAGGUCUUAGGAUUGUAAAAUUCUUUCACCGGGGACGAUAAUGACGGUACCCGGAGAAGAAGCCCCGGCUAACUUCGUG
rnacentral:rRNA from 1 species